AAAAAGAACACAAAACAAGAAUGAAUAAAUAUCUGGCAAAAAAAAUUUAGGUAUCCGGUAGAUGACGUCCCCGUAAGAAGGUGUACGCAUCUAGGCGCUACUACUGGUGCGUCUGUCUGUCAUUUCACCACAAUUACGUUUCUCCACCGCUCUUCUGAAGGUGCUCACUCUAUGUGUGUGUGUAGAAAGAAGGGGCUCUG
ensembl:ncRNA R04F11.17 ncRNA